rnacentral:rRNA from 1 species
UACGUAGGGUGCAAGCGUUGUCCGGAAUUAUUGGGCGUAAAGAGCUCGUAGGCGGUCCGUCACGUCGGCUGUGAAAACCUGGGGCUUAACCCCGAGCCUGCAGUGGAUACGGGCAGACUAGAGGUAGGUAGGGGAGAAUGGAAUUCCCGGUGUAGCGGUGAAAUGCGCAGAUAUCGGGAGGAACACCGGUGGCGAAGGCGGUUCUCUGGGCCUUACCUGACGCUGAGGAGCGAAAGCGUGGGGAGCGAACAGG